UAGAGUUUGAUCAUGGCUCAGGAUGAACGCUGGCGGCGUGCUUAACACAUGCAAGUCGAACGAUGACCCCCAGCUUGCUGGGGUGAUUAGUGGCGAACGGGUGAGUAACACGUGAGCAACCUGCCCCUGACUCUGGGAUAAGCGCUGGAAACGGCGUCUAAUACUGGAUAUGUGACGUGACCGCAUGGUCUGCGUCUGGAAAGAAUUUCGGUUGGGGAUGGGCUCGCGGCCUAUCAGCUUGUUGGUGAGGUAAUGGCUCACCAAGGCGUCGACGGGUAGCCGGCCUGAGAGGGUGACCGGCCACACUGGGACUGAGACACGGCCCAGACUCCUACGGGAGGCAGCAGUGGGGAAUAUUGCACAAUGGGCGCAAGCCUGAUGCAGCGACGCCGCGUGAGGGAUGACGGCCUUCGGGUUGUAAACCUCUUUCAGUAGGGAAGAAGCGAAAGUGACGGUACCUGCAGAAGAAGCGCCGGCUAACUACGUGCCAGCAGCCGCGGUAAU
rnacentral:rRNA from 1 species